GCGCCGGUAGCUCAGCUUGGAUAGAGCGUCUGAAUUCAUAGCAGAAGGUCGGGAGUUCGAAUCUCCCCCGGCGCG
rnacentral:tRNA from 1 species